rnacentral:rRNA from 1 species
CCUACGGGCGGCAGCAGUGAGGAAUAUUGGUCAAUGGCCGAGAGGCUGAACCAGCCAAGUCGCGGGAGGGAAGACGGCCCUACGGGUUGUAAACCUCUUUUGUCGGGGAGCAAAGCGAGUAACGUGUGACGCAUUGAGAGUACCCGAAGAAAAAGCAUCGGCUAACUCGGUGCGAGCAGCAGCGGCAAUACGGAGGAUGCGAGCGUUAUCCGGAUUUAUUGGGUUUAAAGGGUGCGCAGGCGGCGGUGCAAGUCAGCGGUCAAAUUGCGGGGCUCAACCCCGUACUGCCGUUGAAACUGCUUCACUUGAGUGCGCGAGAGGUAGGCGGAAUGCGUGGUGUAGCGGUGAAAUGCAUAGAUAUCACGCAGAACUCCGAUUGCGAAGGCAACAUACCGGCGCGCAACUGACGCUCAUGCACGAAAGCGUGGGGAUCGAACAGGAUUAGAUACCCCGGUAGUC